rnacentral:rRNA from 1 species
UACGUAGGGGGCGAGCGUUAUCCGGAAUUACUGGGUGUAAAGGGAGCGUAGACGGCGAGGUAAGCCUGAAGUGGAAGCCCGCGGCCCAACCGCGGAACUGCUUUGGGAACUGUUUUGCUGGAGUAUGGGAGGGGUAAGCGGAAUUCCUGGUGUAGCGGUGAAAUGCGUAGAUAUCGCGCAGAACUCCGAUUGCGAAGGCAGCAUGCCGGCUCCACACUGACGCUGAGGCACGAAAGCGUGGGUAUCGAACAGG